AGGUAGGACACGCCUACUAAUCAGGAGGACUCACUCACUGAUUGGGUGAUCACGCUUUAAAAAGCUCUCCUGCUUCGCUUUUUAAUUAUGACCUCUUUCGGUUGCCAUACCAGGUCACCAGGAAGUGAGCGCGAGUAGCAGGCAGUUUCCUGGACACGGAUAGUCGGCCAAUCAUUCGGCGUAUCUGCAAUGUGCUCCAGUAGCCGUACGAAUAUUGCAUAGACUCGCUCCUUCUCAGCAACCGAAAGUGUUCUGCUGCACGAUCCCUUCCCUCCCCGCAAACAGGGGAGUAAAGCUGCUGCUUUGCCUUAUGUAUUUUUGUGCCUGAGCUCGAGCGCGCC